AGAGUUUGAUCCUGGCUCAGGACGAACGCUGGCGGCGUGCUUAACACAUGCAAGUCGAACGGAAAGGCCCUUCGGGGUACUCGAGUGGCGAACGGGUGAGUAACACGUGGGUGAUCUGCCCUGCACUUUGGGAUAAGCCUGGGAAACUGGGUCUAAUACCGAAUAGGACCGCGCGCUUCAUGGUGUGUGGUGGAAAGCUUUUGCGGUGUGGGAUGGGCCCGCGGCCUAUCAGCUUGUUGGUGGGGUAAUGGCCUACCAAGGCGACGACGGGUAGCCGGCCUGAGAGGGUGACCGGCCACACUGGGACUGAGAUACGGCCCAGACUCCUACGGGAGGCAGCAGUGGGGAAUAUUGCACAAUGGGCGCAAGCCUGAUGCAGCGACGCCGCGUGAGGGAUGACGGCCUUCGGGUUGUAAACCUCUUUCACCAGGGACGAAGCGCAAGAGACGGUACCUGGAGAAGAAGCACCGGCCAACUACGUGCCAGCAGCCGCGGUAAUACGUAGGGUGCGAGCGUUGUCCGGAAUUACUGGGCGUAAAGAGCUCGUAGGUGGUUUGUCGCGUUGUUCGUGAAAACUCACAGCUUAACUGUGGGCGUGCGGGCGAUACGGGCAGACUAGAGUACUGCAGGGGAGACUGGAAUUCCUGGUGUAGCGGUGGAAUGCGCAGAUAUCAGGAGGAACACCGGUGGCGAAGGCGGGUCUCUGGGCAGUAACUGACGCUGAGGAGCGAAAGCGUGGGGAGCGAACAGGAUUAGAUACCCUGGUAGUC
rnacentral:rRNA from 1 species